AGUAGCUACAUGUCUCCCUCUUUGGACACUUAUGAUAACUGGGGAAAAGGCAUCUUCUAGACACCUGUGAAUAUUGCUCUCUUUUCAGAAAAAGAGCUCUGAGUGAAAGAGGGAGAUUUUGACCAGAGAAGAUGGCCCUCCAAGCUCUCACUACAAGAACUAUUAUACCUACUUUCCUUGUUCAAUAAGAGGGAAAGAGAAGAGUUUGUUUUUAGGACAGCUCCUUCACUAAUUAUCCACUUUGGGUGGCGCGUGCACGGGCCUCCGGUAGCGAUCCUCUUCCGUGUCCUGCAUAUGAUUUUGCAUGACUAGACAUAUAAAUCCGUAAACACCAACCAAGCCCCUCCAAACAAAGGCAAUGGAAGAAGUGGUCAUCUUCCCUGUUGCAGAGAGGAUAAUUAAGAGCUUAGCUCCUCAAGCGGUGCGAAAGUAUGCAUCGAUGUUGAGUAUACAGGAUGAGAUUUCGAGAUUGCAAGAUACCAUUUCAACAAUCCAAGAUAUACUUCUUGAUGCUGAGAAGGAGCAGGCCAGCAACGGUCAAAUCAGAGAUUGGCUCGAGAGGCUUGAACAUGUAGUUUACGAUGCUGAUGAGUUUGUGGAUUACUUGUCCACUGAAGCUUUGCAACUACAAUUGAUGAUGAUCGAAAGUGACAAUAAUAUGGUGAAGCUCAAGCUCAAGCGCCAGGUAUGCACUUUGUUCUCAUGUCUAAACCAACUUGUGUUUCGAUUCAAGAUGGCUCGCGAAUUAAAUAGAAUUAGGGACAAACUAGUUGAAAUUUUUAGGGAUGGGAGAUCAUUCAGGUUCAAGGAGCGGCAUGAGGAGACUCGGGUUUCCUGUAACUUUUCGCCCGAGAAUGAAUCUUAUUUAUAUGAUUACGUUAUUGGGAGAGAAAGUGAUAAAAAUGCCAUCUUAAAAAGAAUAUUGGAUCCCGAAAUUGAAAAAGAUUUGCGUGUUGUGGCCAUAGUGGGUUUAGGAGGAGUAGGAAAGACUACACUUGCUAAAUGUGUGUUUAACGAUGAGAUGGUUCAAAGACGUUUUGAGUUGAGAAUGUGGGUAAAUGUUACCGAUUUUGAUCUUAGAUCAGUUUUGGGGGAAAUCGUUCAAUCUGCAUCUGGUAAUAGAAGCGAGCACAUGGAGAUAGAUCAACUGGUGAAGGAGGUUCAGAAAGAGAUAAAUGGAAAACGAUACCUUCUUGUACUCGAUGAUGUUUGGAAUAUUAAGAAUGAUGAACGAUGGCGAAUGUUGGAAAAUGUAUUGUCGCUUGGGGCACAGGGGAGUGGAAUUAUAAUAACAACUCGCUAUAAUGCUGUUGCAAAAAUUACUAGUACAAUGGAGCCUUACAUGUUAGGGAUGCUAGAUGAACAUGAUUCCUGGUCUUUGUUUAAAAGAGUUGCUUUCCGUGAAGGACAAGAGCCAAACAAGCCACACAUUGUGGAGACUGGAAAGAACAUUUCGAACAAGUGUGGAGGAAAUCCUCUUGCAAUAAGGAAUAUAGGAUGCUUCUUGUACUUUUUAAAUCCAAAAGAAUGGCCCACCUACUUGACAAUGGAAUUCUCAAAAAUACCUGCAAGUGGCGCCGAUUUUUUUGCAGUGCUUAAACUCAGCUUUGAUUAUCUUCCUUCACAUUUGAAAUUAUGUUUUGCCUUCUGUUGUUUAUUUCCUAAAGAAUGUGAAAUUGAUGUGCAAACCCUGAUAAAUUUUUGGAUGGCACAAGGCUUUAUUUAUUCAUCAAAUCCAAGCAAGCAUAUGAAAGAUGUGGGUUAUGAGUAUUUUCAUGAAUUAUUAUCGAGGUCCUUCUUUCAAGAUGUUCAAAAAGAUAAGCACGGCAUGUUCACAAAGUGCAAAAUGCAUAGUCUCAUUCAUGAUCUUGCAAUCCAAGUAGCAGGAAGGAGGUACAAAAUGCUACCACAAUAUGAAGAUAACAUCGAUACAGAAGUCCAUCAUUUGUCGUUUAAUUUUCAUUUAGAUUCACAUUGGAAGAUUCCAGCUUCAUUGGUUCAUGCAAAAAGUAUUAGAACAAUUCUUUUAUCUAAUCAAUUACAGUGGGAAACGGAAGGAAGAUCAAGUAGGUCAAUUUGUGGUCACGUGGUUUUGGGUUGUAAGAGAUUACGUGCGUUGGAUCUGCAUAAUUCAGGGAUUAACAUAGUGCCACAUUCUAUUGGAAAGUUGAAGCAUUUGAGAUAUCUUGAUCUUUCUCAUAAUAUGAAUAUCAAAACACUGCCAAGUUCUAUUACUAAGUUGUACCAUUUGCAGACUCUGAAACUCAAAUUUUGCCAAAAACUCCAAGAACUGCCAAGACAUAUUAAGAAACUAAUCAACCUCAUAAAUCUGGAGAUUGAUGGGUGUGAUAAUCUUACUCAUAUGCCAUGUGGAUUGGGCAAAUUGACUGAUCUGAGGACAUUAUCCCAAUUUGUACUAAGCAAGAAAACUGAUCUCGACUGGAGACGUACAGGUGGGCUAGAUGAACUGCAGAAUCUGAACAGCUUAAGAGGAGAGCUGAAGAUUAAGAAUUUAAGACAUGGGGCAGACUAUGAGGUUGCAAAUUUGAAGGAAAAACAGCUUCAGUCCUUGAUACUAAUAUGGAAUAAUGAUGAUUUAGAGGCUGUUGACAAUCAGGAAAUGAAUGUUGAUUCCUCAUUGAAUGGCCUUGAGCCACACAUAAGUCUAAAAGAGUUAUCUUUAUCUGCUUAUGGGGGUGUGGAGUUUCCAAAAUGGUUCUCUUCACUUACAAAUCUUGUCAGAGUUUCAUUAUGGAGAUGUAAGAAAUGCAGAUAUAUACCACCACUGGAUCAGUUUUCUUCUCUUGCGGCAUUGACAUUGGACGAGCUCACUAAUCUGGAAUAUAUUUCAAAGAAUGAAAAAAACCAGUUGUCAUCCACAGAAAUACUGCCAUCUCUGAAGGAACUUCGACUAACAGAUUUGCCUAACCUGAAAGGAUGGUGGAGACAGGUCGAGAAUGAAGGUGUAGAUGGUGCUUCUUCGUCCACAAAAGCGACAAUUCUGUUGAGCACUGCUGAGAGGAGUCAGCCUUUAUUUCGUUGUCUUUCUAAGUUAACUAUCGAGAACUGCCCGAAGCUGGAUUCUAUGCCGCUGUACCCAAAUUUGGAUGAGGUGCUAAAGCUGAACAAUAGUAGUUUGGAGCCUUUGAGACAGACUAUGAGAAUGAGCGUGGCAGGACAGCAAAUCCCAACAACAACAGCAGCAGAUGAAGCUUCAACUUCAACAAUUUCUAAUUCAGUUCCAAGUACCAGGACUUCCUCUCCUCUCUCAAAAUUGAGGAAUCUGUGUAUUGUUGGCAUGACUGAACUUGACUUUUCCACUGGUGAUGUGAUUAUGUGGAAAGCUUUUGAAAGCCUCCACUCUUUGACAUUUGAUCAUCUUCCACAACUAAAGACUAUUCCUGAAGGGCUUCAACAACUUGACAACCUGCAUGAACUCUAUAUUCGUCGCUGUGACAAUUUCGAAGCCAUUCCAAAAUGGAUCAUAGAUCUCAAGUCAUUGAAGAAACUUGCUAUUCAGCUUCUGCCCAAUUUGACAUCAUUACCUGAAGAAUUGUAUAACCUCACCUCUUUACGAAAAUUGGAGAUUGAGGAUUGUCCUAAGAUAGCUCAAAAGACUAAUCCUGGCCAGGAUCUAAUCAUCAAAUUUUUAAGUACUUCCGAACCUCCAAGGAUUAUGUACUGAAAUGCCAAGCUCAAGGCAAACAGAUGAUGAUUGGUCGUGCUCAUAUCUGUAUUCUGGGUUUCCAGUGAUCUUCUUAUGGCUACGUUUAGGUUUGAAUUUUGAUGUGGUCUUGGUGGUUGGUUGCCUGCGAUCCUGUUGCUUGGACUGAAUUGUAAUAGGUUUUAUUUGGGCACCUGUCUUGUGCAAUUGGCUUCACGGAGAUGAUUAUUCCUUUUAUGAUUUUUGAUUAAUCUAUUGUGGCUUUUAAUUUUUCUUUUUGUUAGGUUUGGUGUUAUAAUGUUUUUCCAAAUUAUUAUGUGAUGGUUUAUUGCCAUUUGUUUCAUUUUGAAGAUGAAUUUUCAGCAUAGACAAGUAUAUGUAUAAAUGUUAGGCUUGUUUGGUUCCUUAGAAAUUCAACUCAGAGGAAAUAAAGUAUUUGUUCCCUAUAAA